CCUACGGGAGGCAGCAGUGAGGAAUUUUCUGCAAUGGGCGAAAGCCUGACAGAGCAAUACCGCGUGAGGGAUGAAGACUUACUGAGUUGUAAACCUCGGUGCCUUAAGGAAGAAGAUCUGACGGUACUUAAGGUGGAAAGCAUCGGCUAACUCCGUGCCAGCAGCCGCGGUAAGACGGGGGAUGCAAGUGUUAUCCGGAAUUACUGGGCGUAAAGCGUCUGCAGGUGGUUUUAUAAGUCUGCUGUUAAAUCUUGAGGCUCAACCUCAAAUCUGCAGUGGAAACUAUAAGACUUGAGUAUAGUAGGGGUAGAGGGAAUUUCCAGUGGAGCGGUGAAAUGCGUAGAUAUUGGAAAGAACACCGAUGGCGAAGGCACUCUACUGGGCUAUUACUGACACUCAGAGACGAAAGCUGGGGGAGCAAAUGGGAUUAGAUACCCCAGUAGUCCUAGCCGUAAACGAUGGAUACUCGAUGUUGGACGUAUCGACCCGUUCAGUAUCUUAGCUAACGCGUUAAGUAUCCCGCCUGGGGAGUACGCUCGCAAGAGUGAAACUUAAANGAAUUGACGG
rnacentral:rRNA from 1 species